rnacentral:lncRNA from 1 species
UUAUUAGACCUUAGUAUAAAUGCAAAAAUAUUAUAAGAUUAUAAAGUUAUAGCAGUUGACUGUUUAGAGUAAGAGAACGUGGAUAUAAUAUGGUUGAUGAAUCAAAUAUCAAAAUAUGUUCGUCGGUUGCUUAAUUAUAGCCACUUGAUAAUGGAAACAGUUUAAACAUAUUUUCCUCUUUCCCUUUCUUUAUUCCUCAAAGAUAAAAUUGUUUAAAUUAUGGCAAUAUAUGACAGCAUGUAACGAUGUUAAAGUUAUUAUGCUUUUUACAAAGCUUCCCGCAAAAAGGAAAUAUCAACGAUAAUACUGCUCAUAAAAGAGCAAAUUCUUUAUUUGCAUUUUAUUAAAAUUUAAAGAAACAAACGCAGGAAAUUGCUGAUCUUUCUUUAGGCUAUUUCCUCUGUUAACCGUUUUGUAUGGUAAAUUGACAUAUCACGAGAGAUCGCUUGAAAAAGAACGAGAAUUAUUGCCAUGCUCGUGGUAAUAUUCCAAUCAGUAUAAUGAGAUUAAAUGCACGGCAACGCGUGUGAUCGAUAAAGUGCAUAGUGUACAGUUGCUAUCGUGUUUGGCGAAUAUUUGUCAAAAGCGAGCGUUAUAUCACGCGGCCAUAGCCUCUAUCUCUUGAAAUACUUGUACGUGUUAAGAAAUUAUGCGACAUUCUCGUGGCACGACCAUGGAAUGCAACCGCGCACGAGACUCGUAGCGAAGUCUGCUUUACGAGGUAAAGAAAAAGAAGAAGAAGAAAAAAAGGGCGUUCUUUUGUCAAAUAUGCGAAGAAAUAGAUUACUAUUGUCAUGUAACGACAGUAUAUCUCGGGUCCAUAUCCGAUUAGCGUCUGCCAAAGUGAUUUCUUAUUCGCUUUUUCUUAAAAGCGGAUCGUCUGUGUGUUUAAAUACGUUAUACCCGGUCAAAUAGGAUUAAAGCAAUACGAUAAAAAGAAACAAGUAUUUGCAAUCACGUUUCUGCCUCGAUAAAAGUAAAUUGUUAAUAUCGACAAGAACACUUGCAUUUCAUGGUAAUUGCAAACAUAAAACAUCUGAUAGCGAUCGUUUUAACUGGACCGGUGGUUCUAGCGUUAAAUAAAACAAAGGUACUUCGAUGAAAGAAAUUUUAAUGCAUUAAAUGCAACUCAAUUGAAAGCUGAAUUAAUGAAAAUCCUAAUAGAAUAAUACAGUCAACACUCUGCUCAACAAAAAAUGACAUUUCACGUGCACCCACGUAAUAUGUCCUUACAUAAUAAAUCAUUUUUCCGUGUACUGUAUCUAAUAGGUCCUUACAUAAUAGAUGACUUUUCCGAUAAGCUCGUGUACACGUGAGGUCGUACAACGAAACGUGAUACGUAAUUAGACUGUCGAUUUUUAUGCAUUUAUAGGCAAUUUGAUGAUACAGGAACGUACAGAAUGCACGAAAUGAAGCACACGUUAGAGUAAAUAAGACCUUAACUGAGGCUUAAAUAGGACUUCGUAUAUAACGAUAUAAACUUGUAUAAAGAGAUUGUUAAACAUUUACACUUUACAUAUCGUCGUUUGCGAGAGACGUAGAUUUUAAGCGAGAAUCAAAGAGUUUAAAAAGCUCGCCAAUCAUCCCUGCAAUUACGUUCUGCUCGCAUAACAGAAGCUGUCGUUCAGAUGAACAAAUCGAACCAGAAAAAGUUAAUCGUAAUAAGGAAGCAGUGACAAGCCAAGAGUUGAACCGUGAAGAACGAACCGCGAUAACCAAGAUAGGAUCGGGGCAUACUCAACUGACACGUAUGUACAUACUGGAAAACAGUCCUGUUAAAUGUGACAUCCGCAGUGUGAGGCUAUCGAUCACCCACGUAAUCAUAGAGCGUUCUAUAUAGAACAAUUCAAGGAGAAAAACAUAAUGUCGACGAUAAUCUUAACGAUAUCCUCGCGGUGAUCUCGUUCCAACAGAAAGAUUAUCACCUUCUGUAAAGAAAUUAAGAUAUUGAGAAGAAUUUGAUAAGCCAGCGUUUAUAAAAAUAGUUGCCAAUGAUCGUAGUUGUAGUCGAUGCGACUUUAAAUUAAAUAAAUAAGAAUAAUGAUAAAGCUUGGUUCAGGUGAAUGAUAGUUCAGCUGUAAUAUGUCGUAAAAGUUUGUCGAAACUUGUAAAGGAAACGCUAUGUAGUAAAAAAUAAUAAAUGAAUGAAUAAUA